rnacentral:tRNA from 1 species
ACACUUAGGAUUAUUAAACCAGAGGCCUUCAAAGCCUCAAAAAAGAGUAUCCCACCCUCUUAGUUUCU